UAAUAAGUGUUUUAUGGCACUUUUAUUUUUAUUAUAAAUCCAUAUCCACCUUGUGUGCAAUGUCAGUCGAUCUUCUUCAUGGAGAUCGACCAAACAUCAACCUUUAUUUUUUAACUCUUUGUCUGAAAAAUAUUAUGAAUAAACAAUUCAAAAUA
rnacentral:misc_RNA from 1 species